CAGUCGCCGCGGGAAUACGGAGGGUGCAAGCGUUAUCCGGAUUUAUUGGGUUUAAAGGGUCCGUAGGCGGACUUUUAAGUCAGUGGUGAAAGCCUGUCGCUUAACGAUAGAACUGCCAUUGAUACUGUAAGUCUUGAGUAUAUUUGAGGUAGCUGGAAUAAGUAGUGUAGCGGUGAAAUGCAUAGAUAUUACUUAGAACUCCAAUUGCGAAGGCAGGUUACCAAGAUAUAACUGACGCUGAGGGACGAAAGCGUGGGUAGCGAACAGGAUUAGAUACCCCGGCAGUCCCUGUCUCUUAUAC
rnacentral:rRNA from 1 species